CAGUGGUGGAGUACUUGCCUGGCAGCGUAAAGCCAUGGGUUCGAGUCCCAGCGCUGAAAGAAAAGAAAACAAGAAAGAAAUGUCCACAGGUCACCUCUGGUUAAGCCAUUUUGAAAAUGUGGGACCUUUCUGAUGGUGGAGGGAGGGAGAGAGCAGUUCUAGAUCCUUAGUACAACCGAUGAUGUGUCAGUGGCUACAGGGUCACUGCUGCUCUCAGCAGCCUGGAGUGAUUUAGAGAAUAUAUUCCUGCAAGGGCUGCAGGGUCCCUUAACUGCAGCCUGGUAGCCCAGUGCAGCUCACAGGACCAUUAUCUUAUGUGCCUGCAACCUCUAGACACAUGUUAGGAAAGUUUAGCUGACAGCCUAACACACACACACACACACAGAGAGAGAGAGAGGCAGGGCCUGAUGAUUCCUCUCUCUGUGUAUUUUAUCUGCUUCCUCUAUUGUUGCUUGUUUUAUUGAAAAUAGCACUGACCUUGACUGGUAUUGUUUUCAAAACUGGUAGAGUUUUCAUUUGCUUGCCUUAAGGCCCUUCUCCCUGAAGAAUAAAGAGUCUUCUAUGAUAUAUCUCUACAGUGAUGGCAACUCAAAGGACUCAGCUGAGAACACUGAUUUUUUUUCUAGUAAUAUUGAACAUGUUAAACAUGUGAAGAUACAAAUUUAGAUGUCUGAAUUUUGCCAGCCCUAGGACAGGGUGGUAUAAAAAAAAAAUAAACCAAGCACAUAGAAUAGCAUCCCUCAGUCUAGAGCCAGUAGGGGUACUCAGGCCAGGCCUUAAAGAAUGUGUAGGAGUUUGCCACGCAUGUGUGGAAGGCCGCAUGGUAUGCAAAACAGAGCCAGUUACUGCAGCCUGCAGCGGCUCCUGCCUGUGGAUCCUGACUCCCUGAGCAGAGCCCAGAGUCCUCUCAGGUUUAGUGACACUUCUCUUUGCCUCAGUCUGUACAAGGCCACAGCCUCUACCCCUCCUGUGAUGUAACAGACCUGUGUCCUCCACCCCAGUCUCAGGACCAGUGGCCAAGGUCCAGGACUGGAAGCCGUGUGCUGCCCUGCCCACUUCCUGUUCUGACCGGAAAGGCUCAUGAUUCCUUUCGGUGCAUGGGGUUAAUUCCCAGUCCUGAGCUUUCCCACUCAAAGUUCUUCCUGGAUGUACUUCCAGCUUCCCUGCAUGCACCCGUCAGUUUCCCCUGGACCUGUGUGCCUGCCAGUGACUUCUGGGACUUCCCUCUCCUCCUCUACAUGCCAGCCAAUGACCUCCAAAAUCCCCAUGCCCAGUGGAUUCCCCGUCCUGUGAGGUCAAGUGCUGUCCACUUGCCCAUCCAUCUACCCGGCAGUGAGCCCUACUAAAGAGGAACAGGCUACCGAGACACAAGACCUGGCCCACCCCAGUGCAAUCUGAUAGAAAACAAGCUGGAGGAGUCUGGGGUUGGCUCUCAGUCAGAAGCAGCUCUGAUGGGCUGAGGCUGCCCAUCUUCUUAGAGCCAGAAUAGAGUCCUGGCACUCCAAGUGGUGAUGAAAUCUUGUGUUUGUUCAGGGUGAUUUCUUGGCUCACCCACACUUCUAGAUUUCCACAUUAUAGCAUAGGAUAUUGUUUGCCUAAGUAUAGUAGGGCAUGUGAGUUGGUUUCUGGCAUCGAUCAUGGAAGAUUAGCUUACUUUUACCAACUCAGAAUCAGCCCCAAUGGCUAUCACCAAAGACCACACGACUCCCAGAGUGUCUAUAAGUAGAUACUGAGCCGCAUGUGUUAUUAGCCUUGACCUUAGACCAUAUGAUUAUUAACUUUGCUUCGGUUGAAGGUAGGCCCCAUCAUAUUGUUAAAAUAGAGUUUCACAGCCCUUUAGUGCCUGGAGUUCGUCACUUUUAAAAAUGUUUUUCCAAAAGAAAAUGUUAAAUCUCAAAUACAUUUUUGGCUGAAUGGUUGAUUUUAAUGGUCUAGAGUUUUAAAAAGGAAAAAAAAAAGCAACCCUGUAACUUAAUCCCUCAUAAAACGUAAGUCAGAAUCAUGAUGUUUCUGCUAAACAGAUCCUUCUGCCCAGUCUAAAAUUUCUACCAGCUUUUAACCUUCAAGGAAUAGCAGAUGGUUGUAAAAUGCCAUUCAUAUUGUUUCAUCUCAAAACUGAAAAUUGUCUCGUCAGUAUCUGACCUCUGUUGUGUUUGUGGCUGUGAGGAUGGGAUGGGGUUUACAGUUCCCAUUCAUUCUCAGGCAGUCCUUAGCACUGAUACCGAGGUACAUUGCCCACGUGACGUGAGCAUGGUAUGAUGGUACCACCUCCUACCUUUCAACAGUUGGCUUUUCAAAGGUGCUGAGGGUCGGUGGGAAAGUUACUCAGACAUCCACACCCACAGGCUGAACUUCAUAUCUAAUGUGACCAGUGCCAUCCAUGUCUUGUUCAACCUAGGGUUUCAUUGGUUUCCUGGCAACUUCUGCAUGCCUGUGGCUUCUGCUUAAUCCCAGCAGAGACAGGAAUGUCAGGCCUCGAGAAGGCAGAAACACAUCUGGAGAGUUCCUUUUAAAAAAAGGUCCAAGUCACUUUCAAAUUCACUUAAUGAUAUGCUCAGUAGUCGAAUGCUUUGGGCACAGAGAGCCAGAACCUCUUCCAAUAACACAAACUUCAGUUGUCAUAUUAAUCUGAAGCACAAAACGCUUGCAGAAAAAUCAAAUGAGCAAAACAAAACCUACCCAGAAUUCACCCCAAAGAAAGAAGCCAAUAUGCCAACAUCAAAGGCUCAAUGCUUUGGUUCUAGAAAUUGAAAAGUAUCCGCCCCUGUCCUGAGUUCACACUGCCUCAAUAAACAGUGUCUCAGCUGUGUGUCAAAGUUGGUGAGGACUUUUUGUUAUCAUUAUGAAUGUGACUCUCCUGACACUGUUUUUACCACCUUGUGCUGGCUUCCUAUUCAGAGAGAUUAAGAAGAGCUGAAACUAAGACCCAGGACUGUGGCAGUGGGAAGCACAGGCUACAUGAGCUAGCAUGAGCUACCUAGGACCUAUUUUGAACUUUGUUAUUUCUUCUGAAAUUGGUUUGUUUCGGAAGGUCCUUCUAUAUUAUUUUCCACUUUUUGUUGUUUUUUUUUGUUUGUUUGUUUUGGUAAAUUUUACUUCUUGGUAAAGAUGUAGAGAUGUUGAGAACCAAGGAGAAGGGGAUCACUGGUUUACAAACACACUUUAGUGUAGCAGGUUGUUUCUGAACAGAUGGGGCUUUUACAUCUGUGAUAUCCUGUGAGAAAACACUGCGAAUUAAGGUGGAAGUCUGCCGUUGUCUGGAUAUCGAGCCUUCUAGAGCUCAGUGCUAUCUGGAGGACACCCUUCAUUGGCAGGGCUUCCCCUUCUCUGACCUUGACUAGGGAAUUCAAAAAGCCCCCACAUGCACCUACGUGCAGAAAGCCACAAAACCUUAGUUAAAUUACAGGUUCAACUUCUUUUCUCCCAGUGAGAACCCAUUCAGCUAGCACCUGAGAUUCCUGCAAUGCUUUCUCAGGCUAAUGCUUGUAGCCUAAGCCCUCAUCCAGUGACCUUUGCCCAUCCUGGAUGAUUCUACCCCCACCACUCCCAACCUCCCCAAAUUAUAUAAGCCUUGAAAACCCCAAGUAAAGUUGAUCUGCCUCCC